GGGCCGGUGGCAGAGCCGGGUUAUUGCAGCGUCGAUGAGCCGGCAGCCGGGUACGCACGGCGGCUUGGAACGCGUGGGGCCACUGGCGUGCCAUGCCCCACCAGGGGUUCGAAUCCCCUUCGGUCCG
rnacentral:tRNA from 1 species